rnacentral:lncRNA from 1 species
GUAACUACAAAGCAUUACAUGUCUCAUAUUCUGUUUAAUAAUCUUACUUUGACCUCUCAUUUAUUCUAAGUUUUUAGCUCCUUGGAUAUCUUUUCCUCCCAGUGUUAAUGGAAUUUCAGCACUUCGUCUUAAAAUCCAUGGGUUCAACUAACUAUGCUGAACAAGAUAUCUGCAUAAGUAGAAAAUUUAUCCCUCUCUUUUGCAGCUGCAGGAAAAAUGUUAUUCCAGAUCAUAAACCCUCCUUGCAAGAAAAAAGUAUUUUGCAACAUCUAGAAUUUAGAUAUAAUUGCCAUCUAGAGUGAGCAAAUCUCAAACUCUGAAAUAUCUAUCAUUUUGAUUGAUUGUAUUAUUUACCAAUGUGUUAUGCCCAGGUAAUAACAUCUCUGUUGUCAAACGAAAGCUAGAAAGAUAUUACACAAAGGUAAAAUAUAAUAAAUCAACUCUGGUAGAUGUCUUAAAGUGUUUUGUUUUUUGCAUUUCCAAUGGCAGAUGAAAUCAGGGCAAGAAACCGAAGUAAUGAUUACUCACAAGUAAGAAUACUUGCUUGCUGAACACUUGCUGAAGACACACUUAAUAAUUUGAAAUUGUUCAAUCAGCAUCAUACAAUAUUAUUAAAAUUAACUAAUAUAUCCACAUGCACUAUCUAAAUGCCAAACACCAAGAAAAAAAUGCAGCAGAGCACGAAAAAUAAUUUUUCAUUGGAAACAAUUUCUCAGCAUUUUCUUACGUACAAUGAAAGACAGAAGACAACAAAGAGAAACCCCUUUAAAGAUUACAUCCCUGCUGAAGAACUCAUAAUGUCAAACACAUUCUACUUCAUCACAACAGACUGCCUUACUGGCCCUAAAUGUCACUUAAAGAAAAUGAUAUCCACCCAACAGGGGCUUGGUUUUGCUUAUUGAGCCAUUGGUGAUCAUGGCCAUUAACAUUACAUAUAUACUGGUGAGGAAGCUGGAUAAACAAAAGGACCAUUUAGCAAGACAGAAGAACAUGAGAAGAGAGAUUUUGUUGGAAAGGUAACAAGUUCCAUUCUGGAUAUAUAGAGUGUGCAAAGCCUAUAAGACACCCAGUGUGAAAUAGUCAGUGUGCAUUUCAACACGUGAAGCAGGGGCUCAGGGGAGAGUAAGCAGGUAUGUGUUGCUCAGAGCACCAGGAAUGGAGAAGGCCACAGGGGAGGAUAUGGAGACAGAAGAAGGCAGAUGAAAGCUUUCAGCUUGAAGCACACCAGUACCAAGGGGUGAAAGAUAAGAAGGGCUGGUGUGGGGCGUGAAACAGGUGAGGAUGGCCAGAGAGCAACAAAGAGAGAAGUGGUAGGCAUGUGUCAAAGAAAACAGGACAAGGUUGCAAGAACAGAAUGGUGGAAAACAGUGUCUAGCAGAGGCUAAAUAAGGACUGGAAAACAAUUCCUGGAUUUAGGAAACUAGAAAAUCAUUGGUAACCUUAGUGAGGAUAAUUCCACAAAGUGGUUUUUAUCUCCCUGGCUGUGGUGAGUGUUGGAGGAGCUGGGGAGUACUGACAGUGGAAGACAUGCCUGGAAGAAGAGGUGACAGUGCAGGAGAUGCCAAGUCCAGCCAGCAAGGGUGAUCCACUCUGUGAAAUGCUGGGCUGUGGGGGAACAGGAGGAGGAUGCUAAAGAGGACAAGACGUUUGAGGAAGGGGUUUUGUUUAAAGAAGAGACACCCGAGCUUAUGUACAGCUUGGGAAGCAGAGACAUCAAAAAUACAGGAGGGAGUGGCUUGAUGCUGCCAGGCUCCCUGGAAGUGGGAGGGGACUACUGGAGUCAAGGUGGAGAAUUUUCCUUCCACUUUUGCAGCCCUCCUCUCCUGGAGAGACCAGGGCUAAAGGCAUAUAACUCUGCAAGCAGGAGCAGCCAGGGAGACUUUCAGAUGCUAAAAGGAGGAGGUCAAACUUCCGGACCUUCCCACCUCUGCCCUUAAACUUUUAAUGUGAUACCCAAGUUAUCAGAACACCGUGAGAAACAGGGACCCCAGCAUCUAUGGUUUUUAAAUCUCCCCUAAAAUGACUUCAGUGUCCAGCCAUGCUUGGGAAUGACCACUUUCAACUUUUUGCCACUUUCCACACAUAGCCAUCCUCUCUCUGACAAUUUGGUAAAAUGUGCCUUUUAUCUUAGAAACAAGUAUUUAUUAUCUCAGGUGGCCUUUAAAUACCUCUUCCUGAUACUGUUAGUUGGGACGUUUGUUGCCUUGUGAUUUAAAUUCAAAAUCUUCUAAUGAAAUGGGUUAUUUGUUUUCCAUAAGGAUUUUAAAAGGCAGCUCUCUUUAUAUUCAUAUACCUCAAUUCUUCAAAUUUCCCCCCAAAUAAUAAAUCUAAUAAUUUAAGAAGAAAAAAAAGUCUGUAUCUUAGAAAUUCAAGUUCAUGAUUACCUACAGGGUAAACAUAAGUUUCAUUGAUUCCAAAAAACAUACGAAGUAUAUUAUAAUUAAUGGCAUAUAUGAAAUUAUAGCUAAUGACCACGCAAUGGAGAUAAAUGGAUGAUACCAAAAGGCACGUAGAUACCCAUAAGCUUCCUGGCCCUGGAAUUCCUCACCAUGACCCACAAAGCUCUGGAUGUGGCUGCUUCCUGAUCUAUCCAGUGCUGCUCUUGUUCCUGCUCCAUGCACUCCAACAACACUGGCCUUCUGAAAAUUUUGUAGUCAUAGAACCAUUACUGCCUUUCCCUUUUUAGUUACUGUUCUAUAUGCCUCGAGUACUAUACACACCCUGCAGUUGGCAUGGCCCACCCCUUCUCUUGAUGGCUCUGCUGGAUGGUUCCUCAGCCCCAAACAGCAGGGUCCCUGGUGCUCUCAAUUGGGCAGGCCAUGAAGCCAGCGUUUCCUCUGCCCGGUGUGUUUGCCCAUACCUACUACACAAAGUCAUUAACCAGCAUUUAUGUCACUGUCCUAAGCUUGGCUGAGGGAUGAGGGUCGGGUGGCAGGUAAAGUGGGAAAUAAAAGUAAAAAUUGCUGAAAAUGAACAUGGAAUGAAGAGUGCUCUACACCCUUUUAUGUCUGUGAAGUCCAGCUUGCUGAGAGGUUGACUCACCACUAAAGCCAAAAAGCCUCUGGUUAGGAGAAAGGUGGUAGCUCUUUAAAACCAAAUCCAUUUCCCCUGCUAAGUGCAUUCAUUUCUCCUAAUCUGCACUGUGAGGCUGAUGAUCUUACCUUGCUUUUCUAUUCUCUCCCUCAUCUAGAAAACAAAGCUAUUUUUAAAACCACGAAUCUCUGACAAGAACAAAGUCAACAUUUUGGAAAAAUAGUGAUUUUUUUUAAAAAGUACCUUUUGA